rnacentral:rRNA from 1 species
GAUGAACGCUGGCGGCGUGCUUAACACAUGCAAGUCGAACGGGAAACCUUUUAAUGAAGCUUCGGCAGAUUUAGCUGGUUUCUAGUGGCGGACGGGUGAGUAACGCGUGGGUAACCUGCCUUAUACAGGGGGAUAACAGUCAGAAAUGACUGCUAAUACCGCAUAAGCGCACAGGACCGCAUGGUCCGGUGUGAAAAACUCCUGUGGUAUAAGAUGGACCCGCGUUGGAUUAGCUUGUUGGUGGGGUAACGGCCAACCAAGGCGACGAUCCACAGCCGGCCUGGGAGAGUGAACGGCCACCUUGGGACUGAGACACGGCCCAGACGCCGACGGGAGGCAGCAGUGGGGAAUAUUGAACAAUGGGGGAUACCCUGAUGAAGCGACGCCGCGGGAAGGAAGAAGUAUCUCGGUAUGUAAACUUCUAUCAGCAGGGAAGAUAGUGACGGUACCUGACUAAGAAGCCCCGGCUAACUACGUG